UCUGCUCACAGUGCACCAGCCAGGGGCUCUUCAUUAGUGCUAAAUGAGUGACCCUAAUGAGUCCUUCCACCUCCGUGUCAGUUUUUAGGAAUCAGAGGCAGAUGGUUUAAGAGCUCUGGGAUGUUUGGGGUGACCUUGGGGAGGUCUAACUGCAACGCAAAAUUGCAAAUGGAGCACAAAGAAGGACAUGAAUUCACAGUGCUCUCCUCUCUCUCGGGGCUGUCACAUGCCUUUGUUGGAUGGGGCUGUUUGCAGUGAGGUGCUGUCACUCACAUCUGGUGCCUGCUCAACCGUGGGGCUUUGACACCUCCUGGAACAUCCUUUGGUUCUUGUCAGCAGUGAAGAGCUCAGCCCCUUCCCAGCCUGAUCUGGGCUGCUCUGAAGGAAACCAGUGGGCAGAAGGUCACACACAACAACCAGAGACAGCCACCACUCUGCAGCUGCCAGGUGACAGAAAGGAGUGAGUGUUAGCCAUUACCAGGGCUGGAUCAGCACAGAGACAUGGAUCUGCUGUGGUGGCUUUCAACACCCUCAAAGGCAUCUAAUUGUUCAGGACAGAGUGAGUAUCUGCACUUACAGAAAUCAAGGCUGGAGUGGAACUCCCCUGAAAGCCAGGCACCGGGAAGCCAAGAUUAGUUUUCAGAAAUGUUUUAGGUGUGUUUUCAGCGUGCAGAGGGUCCAGCCCUGCAGGGACACAGCAGCCCUUGGCCAGGCUGCUCUGGCAGGCAGUGCUGGCACCUUGGGCUUGGCACUGGCUGAAUUGAGUGGCUGCUGCUGCUGCAAACACACACAGCCUGCUGUGAGCUCCCCAGCAGCCUGCCCGCCUAAUUCCAGGAUUACAGCAUUAAGGACAGAUUGAUAAUAGUCUGUGUAGGAAAGAGCUGAAAAACACAAAAAGAAAAAGUUGGAGCUAUUUGAAUUGUCAUGGCAAUAUCCUGGAUUUUUCAAGAAGUUUGGUUCUGUUUAGCUAGUCACUUUAAUUUUCCUUCACUAACUUGUCUCCAUUCUCUGCCACAAUGAUAAUUCUUUAUAUGACUGUCAGCCCUUUGCAUUGUGACAGCUUAAAUUAAUGUUUUGAUAUUUCUCUCUUUGUAAGAAUACAACAAAGAAGACAACUGCCAAGGAUAGGACAGAAACUAUAUGAAUGUAAAACAGACACUGCACACCAAUAAAGCCAGAAGGAAUAAUUUUUGUGUUAUUGCCUUGUUAAUAAGCUUUUGCAACAACUAAUCCUGAAGUCUUUGGGUUCUUUGGGCUAGUAUGGCCCUGGUGCUUUAUCUGGAUCGUGGGGAACUUCUUAAGGAGCAUUUCUGGGGGUGCUCCAGCCCCUUGAGGCUGAGGAGGUUCCACAGCUCAGGCAGGCUGGUUCAGCCUCUGGCACUGCACCAGCCACAGCUGUGAGCUUUGGUGGAUUGGCUUGUUCAUAAUCACAACACCCUUCUGCACGGUGGAAACCCUUCACAAACUAAUGCACGUUCCUCUCAUUUUCACACAGCACCUCUCCCAGUGUUAGGAGGAUCAGUAAGAAAAAUUCCAAAAGGAAGGUGAAGGAGGAGUUGGAAGGGUUUGAUUUGGCACUUACAAAAGAAAUGAUGAAAAGGAAUUGUCUUUAAGAUUUCGUGGAGGUUUACACCAAUCCUUAUCUAAGGUUCAAGGCCUUUAGCAGCAUCAUUCCUGCUCUUAAUGUAUGCUUCCAAAAUCCCAACCCAUCUGGCAUUGCUGUAAAUGAAGCUUGACUUCAAUGAGGAUGGUGUUUUUCAAUGUUCUUUAAAAAAUCCUUUUAAAAAGAUCUGAGAUAUCAGAUGCAGUUUAAUGUUUCAGUAUAGCUGAGGAUUUCAUUAUUACGUUCUCUCAUUUUUAUCAUUUUCCGUCUGUUUCUCCUCUCACACAUUCCUUCAGGACCUGGCCUCACCUGAGAGAUGAGGAAUUUAAAUGAAAGUAGAACAAAAAAAAAAAUCAAUUAAUCCAUUCUUUGUGGCAGAAGCCACCAGAUGAUGCUGUUACUCUUACAGCUUCUUAGCAUGUGAGCAAGAUUUCAGUUUUUGAAGGAAUGUUGCAUUGUUAUUAGCUUAGUUUUACAGUAAUCCUCUGAGAGAAGCUACCAGCAGAGUGUGUUUUCUGCUUUAUUCUCUGUAGGAUGCAGUUCUUAGGACAAAUUACAUUCCUUGGAGUUAAAUGUGCAGUGCCACACUGCAAAGUGGUGUGUUCCAGUAGGAGGAGGAUCCCCGUGAUGACUGCAGAUACCACAGCGAAAAAAUAAUAAUUAAAAAAGAAAAAGCAUAAAGAAAAUGGGUGUCACUUAGGAGAAAGUCCACAUUACUUCUGUUUUAUCAAAUCAGUGCCAAACCCCCAAAUUCUGUCGCUACAGAGAAAGAAGAGAGAGUUGUCACAGCGGGAACACAGUGAAGAAGGAGAGGACGCUCUCGUCACUGGAAUGUGCUGGGCCAUGUCUGAGAGCCAUCAGGAGAGCACUGCUUGCACCUCAAAACAUCCCUUGACCUGUGCCUCUCCCUCUUUAACAGAGAGCUGGUCCCAGAGAGCUUCAAAGAAUAGAUCAAAAGUGUGAGCUGUACUAUUUAUCUCAAUGGACCACAAGUGCUGAAAGCUAGAGAUGAAAAAUUUAACAUCAGAUUUGUCAAAUAUUUCACUGCUGAUGGGAUCAUUUCAGCAGAAAUGACCAAUGGCAGUGCUUAUCCAUCAAAUGGAAGGUUUAAUAUAAAAAAUAAAUAACAUGGGAGAUAGGGCUUCUAGUGGAUGAUUCAUCGAUGCAUUUUAAUUAAAACACUUGAUUGUUUAAAUGCAAAUGAAGCAAACUCAGAAAUGCCAGUGCAUUGCAUCAGCGUGCUGGAAACCCCAGCGGCAGCCAGGCUGGGCUCGCUCAGGUGUGCUGGUGGCAGGGGAAGGUGGCACUGCCUCUGCACAAGGGAUUGCUGCUCCCGACUCUGCUCCUACCAGCAGCAAACCCCAUGAUGAGAGCUCCUGCCCCAGCCUGGACACUGGUCUCCAACUGGCCACGUGUGCUCAAGGACACGUGCCAACGUUCAGGCAGUGCCAGAGCUGAACGAGGUAAGCUCAAACCAAUCUAGAGACUGCCCUCAUAUAACUGGGAUUAUCCCUGCCCUGGGAUUUCCUGGCUUGACCACCAUUUAAAGUGAAAUAGUUCUGUUUAUGUUUUAGAGAUCCUCCAAGAAAGAAGAAGCAGGCACACACAGAAGCCAAGCCAGCCCGCUGCAGAGCUGAUGCACCCAGGCUUUGCUAAGCCAAUUAAGCAAUCAAAUAAAGGCCACAACUGAAAUGGACUCAGCAGAUCAGUGAAAUCAAAUGGUGAAAAUUAAUACACUAGGAAAUUAAAUCAGAAUUAUGAAGCUGAGACUGAAUUUGAUUUGUCAGUCUUGGGCUGGGGAUAUUUACAGGAAGCAGCUCUUUGCAGUCUGAAGGAUGUUUGUGUCCCUCAGGUGUGAGGUUUGUGCUGGUUCUUCCCAAAGAGACCCUCUAAAACAAAGGGUGAUCCUGACCUGCUCCACUUAAGGAGGAGGUACAGCCACCACAGUGCUGUCAGCAGCUCUGCUUCAUUCUUUUCUACCUUAAAUCUCCCUGUUGUAACAAGUUACUAGCUUGCUGUUCUGAUUUUCCCUUCCUAACACAGAAAAUCUUUCCACAGAAGUGACACAGAUGACAGCCAUAUCAAGCAGUAACAGCUUUGGGGGAAAAAAAUAAUAAAUCCAGAAGAAUCUUCCUAAUUAUAUGCAACAUUUACAGAGUUUGCUGUUUACUUUUAGGGACCUGUAUGUAGUGCUGUUUCUCCAUUAUAGAGUGCAAGUAUGCAAGUGUGUCUUUGAGAUAAGGCAGUAUCAUCCUGGUAUAAUGGAAAGGAAAUGAAAAGAAAGAGUUCAAAAUGCUUUAUAUUUUGGGAUCUUCACUUGUGGUGUUGACAGCAGCUGCAACAAAGAUUCAAGUUGAAGACAACUUACAAUUCAUGUUGAACAUCUCCGUGGCAUUUGCACAGCCAGUAACAAGCCUUUUACCUCUGUCCCCGUGGAUUGCGCAGCCACGAGGAGGAAAAGCUUUGUGUCCAGAGGCUGUCCAUGCUGCCUGGGAAUGGAUGCACUUCUUUCCACCAAGAUCCUCCCUCCCUUCGGAAUGCUGCUGUGGUGAUUAGGAGCAGACCUGGUGGAUGAUGUUCCCGUGGAAGCCCUGAGCCAUGAGGUUACCAGGAGGAGGGCACUGGCAGGCAGUGUCUGCCAGUCUCAUUGCAGGCUGCUUGUCAGAGGAGCAGAGAUGUGGAGAGCAGGCUGUGGAAACUCAUCCUUGUUUCCCAGCUUAAUGAAAAAUAUUGAGCGGACAGUGCAGUAAAAUACAUAAAAAAUAAAUUCUUUGUGUGUUCUCCCACAUUUGCUUCCUCACCUACCUUGGGCAAUGAAUGCAGGUAAAUUCCUAUCCUGCCCCAGAUUAAAAUACUUCCUUUUUUUGUCCCAUCAGGCUAAAUUUUGCUUAUAAUUAGAGUUUUUCUAGGUUCGAUCCAAACUGAUUUCAAGGAACAUAUUUUCUAAAGGAGCAGAUUUUCCUUUGAGCACAGGCUGGGCUACCCUUGGGUCCAGGGAACUGGGCUGGAGCAGAGGGCUCCGUGAGGCACCUGGAGCACCUGCUGCUCUCCCCACACCCUUCACCAGCACAGUAUGAUUGACCACGGGCCAGGGCUCACCAUCCACCUUUCCCAGGAAAGCCACACCAGGAUACAUCCCUGCCACGGCUGGGGUUGGAGCAAGGUGAUCUUUGAGGUCCCUUCCAACCCAAACCAUUCUGUGAUCCAAGAGCAGGGACUUGGGCAGGAGGUGGGAGAGGAAAGGACUUUCCUCACCAGUUGGUUUGGACAUCCAACCAACAAACCCAACUGGUGAGAAAACUCCGCCCCAAACGUGAGUCCCGAAAUCCCUUUGUGCCACAGCUCAGCUCAGAGCACGCCAAGGCUGCUGAGGGAACUUCUGUGAGCAAGUCUUGCCCAGCGUGAGGGGGCUGCAGAGCCAGGCCUUCUGUUUGGGCAAAACCCAACACCGCCGCUGAAUUAAAGACAUAAUUGGGUUUGGCAAAAUUGCAACACAGCUGCCCAAGGUCAUCUGCAGUGAAAGUAGCGAGGAGGUUUACAGGGAAGAUGUUAAUUGGAUUU